UGCAAGUCGAGGGGCAGCAUGAACUUAGCUUGCUAAGUUUGAUGGCGACCGGCGCACGGGUGAGUAACACGUAUCCAACCUGCCGAUGACUCGGGGAUAGCCUUUCGAAAGAAAGAUUAAUACCGGAUGGUAUAGUUUUCCCGCAUGGGAUGAUUAUUAAAGAAUUUCGGUUGUCGAUGGGGAUGCGUUCCAUUAGGUUGUUGGCGGGGUAACGGCCCACCAAGCCUUCGAUGGAUAGGGGUUCUGAGAGGAAGGUCCCCACAUUGGAACUGAGACACGGUCCAAACUCC
rnacentral:rRNA from 1 species